UACAGAGGGGGCAAGCGUUAUUCGGAAUUAUUGGGCGUAAAGGGCGCGUAGGCGGCUUUUCAAGUGUCGGGUGAAAUCCCUCGGCUUAACCGAGGAACUGCCUGUCAGACUGGAAGGCUUGAGACCGGGAGAGGUGAGUGGAAUUCCCAGUGUAGCGGUGAAAUGCGUAGAUAUUGGGAGGAACACCAGUGGCGAAGGCGGCUCACUGGACCGGAACUGACGCUGAGGCGCGAAAGCGUGGGGAGCAAACAGG
rnacentral:rRNA from 1 species